rnacentral:rRNA from 1 species
UACGGAGGGUGCGAGCGUUGUCCGGAAUCACUGGGCGUAAAGGGCGCGUAGGUGGCGCGGGCAGUCAACGGUGAAAGCCCGGAGCUCAACUCCGGAACUGCCUUUAAGACUGCAUCGCUUGAAUCCGGGAGAGGUGAGUGGAAUUCCGAGUGUAGAGGUGAAAUUCGUAGAUAUUCGGAAGAACACCAGUGGCGAAGGCGGCUCACUGGACCGGUAUUGACGCUGAGGUGCGAAAGCGUGGGGAGCAAACAGG